GAUGAAAGAUGUGUUUUGAAAAUGCCACGUCACUACCGUCCUCCUCCCUCGCGGAUCAGUCCGCAUGUUCAUGGUACCAGCAUUUGUUAUAGAAUAUGUUGAGCAAAGCUGGAGAAGCGUCAGCUCAAGAUAUUAUUGUUGUCAUUGCUGUGGAUCUUUACCUGAUACACUGACUUGGCUCGGGACCAGCACUCCUGUUGUUGGACAGAAAGACAUCAACUUGAGAUAUGACUGCACGAUUCUGUUGCUGUGACUCCAGUUAAUUCUACAAGACAUGCUGUGACAGCAGGAGAGAUGAGUGCUCCGUCACAGAUGGUGUGGUCAGUGAAGAUCGCCUGCAGGUUCAAGCUCAUUGCAUCUCCAACCCACAUCCACUGCCACUGUACUUAAGGGAAGUUCAAGACUUUCUUCUGCACCUACAUUUGGAUCACCUCGAUCCAUGACAGUCAUUAAGGCAGUAAUGCCUGGACUGGAAACAAGCCAUCCUUAAAAUAAUACAACAUUCCAGCUCAUGUGUUGGAAUGAAAAACAAAUGCGUUGUUUAAAUUAGAGACAGUGACAGUAGUAGUAGUAGUAGUAGUGACAGAACAACAAAUAUUUUAUUUUGAUUAUAAAAGUAAUGUAAGUACAAAACAAACUUGUGGUAGGCCUAAACUUAUUUUCAGAAUAAUUACAUCUGAGACUUUGUUUCAUUGUAAGAAUAUAACAGUGAUGGAAAUAUAAUUGUUUGUUGUUCAAGAGAACAGUGUCCAGUUGUCAUGGUCCGCGGUCCGGUGUCCGAGGAGCUGAUGGGAUGCCCACGCCCACGGGCGUGGCUGUUAACUCCACACCUGCAUCCCAUCCCAGGGGAUCAUCAGGUGGACUAUUUGAUCCAGCCCAGCCUGCUGCUCCACGCCAGUCCGUUAGUCGCCUCACAGCGAUAACAGCUCGCCGUGUUUUUUGAGCCACCUGCCUGUCCACCUGCCCGUCUGGAGUUUGGAUCGCCUUCGGUACCCGUCAUCUCUACUUUCCUGGAGCUCCCCCGCGGACCCUCACCCCUCCCUCCAGCUCCCACGGCCCCGCCUUGACCCCUCCCACAGUCCCGAUUUCAGCAUUCCUGCGCGACUCAUCUCCCGGUCCCUUGGUUUCUCUAGUUUCACGCGUGUUUUCCUUUAACCCUUCCGGGACACCUUUAGUUGAAAUAAAGUUUAUUUUCUCGUACUCCUGUGCGUGUUGGCUCUGCUUCUGGGUCCAGCUUGUGCACUGAACUUCGGUUCAUGACACCAGU
ensembl:lncRNA